UACGUAGGGGGCGAGCGUUGUCCGAAGUUACUGGGCGUAAAGCGCGCGUAGGCGGUCAUUUAAGUUCGGGGUGAAAGGUUCAGCGCUCAACGCGAACAGUGCCUUGAAUACUGGGUGACUUGAGUUCGGGAGAGGGCAGUGGAAUUCCUGGUGUAGCGGUGAAAUGCGUAGAUAUCAGGAGGAACACCGAUGGCGAAGGCAGCUGCCUGGCCUAGAACUGACGCUGAGGUGCGAAAGACGUGGGGGAGCGAACAGG
rnacentral:rRNA from 1 species